rnacentral:lncRNA from 1 species
GCAUAGAAAGGUCAAUUUCACAUCAGAAUAUGCUCCAUUCACAUCUAUACAUUUAGAAACUGGAGCGUGCUAGAGCCUGCUAAACUAGACAUCCAAUUGUUAAAUUUUCAUCAUGAACAUGUACACCUUGGGAUUAGGUAAACUACAUGACUUUUAGCUUGUUUAUUGUUUUGUUGACUUCUAGACUUCAAAAAGUGAUAGAUAAAUUGUUAGCAAUUUAGGUGAAACCUAAAAAUGUGUCAUGCAUAUAUUCCUCUAACCCCAGCUGAUUGCUAAAAAUUUGCCUGCCCACCCCUGUUUAGACAAAUAGGAAAGGACUUAGAAAUGUCAUAUUAAGUAUAUAGUUUUGUUUAUAGUUUAGCAGAAGGCUCUUAACCCAAGUUUAUGAACUUGUGUUAAAAAUUAUUUUGAGGUGGAGCCAAGAUGGUGACUUAGUAAUACCAAAAGCCUAAACUACUCUGACAAUCCUUCCAAACUAAUCAUUAAAAACUGUCUCAAAAUGACAGGACUCAAAAACAAAUAUCAAGAAGGUGUGAGGGGGAUCUCUUGCUGAAUACAACUGGAAAGAUAGGCAGAGAGGGGUGAUUUUCACAGGAUAAAGAGGAACUGGAAGCAAAACUGCACACAGAGGAGUGUUAGCCAAUCACCCCCCAACCCCCACUGCACCAGGUUUCUCAAUUGGGCAUAGGCUAACUUUGGGACCCCAGGAUGGGGGCUAUACCAGAAAAAUAGCACCUCAGACCCACCCCUUGAAUUCCCAGACCCUGGCCCUAGCCUGUGGUGAGAUAUAGAAGUCCAUAGCACUGGACCUUUUUAAGCCUGCCCUGUGGCACUACAAACCUAGCCCCAGGGCAAAAUAGCUCACCCUGUGGAAGCCAGAAGCAGAGAAGACAGAAUCAGCAAGCAGCCUUCAGAAUUCCCAGUCCACAGACCAAAAAAAGGCUAGGAGAGUGAGUAAACAGCAAAAGAAACAUUUAACACUCUUUUUGGCACUAUUCAGGUUAAGUCUGUGCUCCUUGUUUUUAUCCCAUUUCCUGGAAUCAGAUACAAACAUUAAUCACAGUCCCAUAAUAUUUUAUCAAUAAAUGGCAGGUUCCCAUAGUUUAAAGCUUUUGGGUAUGCAUUGAUAUUAUAACAAGUGUAUAUGUGUAUACAUAUAUAUAUUAAACUUCUAUUACUGUAGAAAAAUAAUAUAAAUUAU